rnacentral:rRNA from 1 species
GAUGAACGCUGGCGGCGUGCCUAAUACAUGCAAGUCGAACGAACAGACGAUGAGCUUGCUCCUCUCACGUUAGCCGCGGACGGGAGAGUAACACGUGUAUAACCUACCUAUAAUACUGGGAUAACUUCGGGAAACCGGAGCUAAUACCGGAUAAUAUAUUGAACCGCAUUGUUCAAUAGUGAAAUUCGGUUUUUCUGUCACUUAUAGCUGGUUCCGGGCCGCAUUAGCUAGUUGUGAAGGUAAAGGCUUACCAAGGCAACGAUGCGUAGCCGAACUGAGAGGGGGAUAGGCGACACUGGAACUGAGACACCGUCAAGACUCCUACGGGAGGCAGCAGUAGGGAAUCUUCCGCAAUGGGCGAAAGCAUGACGGAGCAACGCCGAGUGAGUGAUGAAAGUCUUCGGAUCGUAAUACUCUGUUAUUAGGGAAGAACAAAUGUGUAAGUAACUAUGCCCGUCUUGACGGUAACUAAUCAGAAAGCCACGGCUAACUACGUG